AAAUUGAAGAGUUUGAUCAUGGCUCAGAUUGAACGCUGGCGGCAGGCCUAACACAUGCAAGUCGAACGGUAACAGGAAGCAGCUUGCUGUUUCGCUGACGAGUGGCGGACGGGUGAGUAAUGUCUGGGAAACUGCCUGAUGGAGGGGGAUAACUACUGGAAACGGUGGCUAAUACCGCAUAACGUCGCAAGACCAAAGAGGGGGACCUUCGGGCCUCUUGCCAUCAGAUGUGCCCAGAUGGGAUUAGCUAGUUGGUGAGGUAACGG
rnacentral:rRNA from 1 species